GACGAACGCUGGCGGCGUGCCUAACACAUGCAAGUCGAACGGCAAGGCCCUGCUUUCGUGGGCUUCUCGAGUGGCGAACGGGUGAGUAACACGUGAGUAACCUGCUCUUGUCUUUGGGAUAACUUCAGGAAACUGGGGCUACUACCGGAUAGGAGCCCCUGCUGCAUGGUGGGGGUUGGAAAUUCUCGGCGUUAGUGGAUGGACUCGCGGCUUAUCAGCUUGCUGGUGGGGUAGUGGCUUACCAAGGCUUUGACGGGUAGGCGGCCUGGGAGGGUGACCGGGGACAUGGGUACUGAGGGAGGGCGCAGUGGGGAACGUGGGGCAACGGUGGGGAAUAUUACACAGUGAGCGCGAGCGUGAGGCGGAGACGCCGGGGGCGGAAUGACGGCUUUCGGGUUGUGAACCGCUUUAGGCUGAGACGAAGCGGGAGUGACGGUAAUGGAUAAAGAAGCACCGGCUAACUACGUG
rnacentral:rRNA from 1 species